GGGGAAAGGGUAGUCUAGUGGUUGUCAUGUUUGACUUGCAGGUAAAAGGUUCUGGGUUCAAUCCCCGAUGCCUAACCCCCUA